rnacentral:rRNA from 1 species
ACGGAAGGCAGCAGUGAGGAGUAUUGGUCAAUGGGCGGAAGCCUGAACCAGCCAUCUCGCGUGCAGGACUACGGCCCUACGGGUCUUAAACUGCUUUUAUGGGGGGAUAAAGUCGGGCAUUCGUGUCCGUUUGCAGGUACCCCAUGAAUAAGGAUCGGCUAACUCCGUGCCAGCAGCCGCGGUAAUACGGAGGAUCCGAGCGUUAUCCGGAUUUAUUGGGUUUAAAGGGUGCGCAGGCGGCCCGUUAAGUCAGCGGUGAAAUGUCGGGGCUCAACCCGGGCACUGCCGUUGAAACUGGGGGGCUUGAGUACGGAUGAGGUCGGCGGAAUGUGACGUGUAGCGGUGAAAUGCAUAGAUAUGCUGCAGAACUCCGAUUGCGAAGGCAGCUGUCCAGAGAUGAACUGACGCUCAGGCACGAAAGCAUGGGUAUCAAACAGGAUUAGAUACCCUGGUA